rnacentral:rRNA from 1 species
CGGUAAUUCCAGCUCCAAUAGCGUAUACUAAAGUUGUUGCAGUUAAAAAGCUCGUAGUUGGAUUUCUGCGGGGACGGAGCGGCCGGACGCAACUUGCGUCUCGAGCUAGCGCUUUCCCCGCAUCCUGCCGCGAACCGUGCUACCAUUAGUUUGGUGGCGCUGGGGAUCGGCUCGAUUACUUUGAGAAAAAUAGAGUGUUCAAAGCAGGCCACACGCCUUGAAUAAGUUAGCAUGGAAUAAUGACUAAGGACUUCGGUUCUAUUUUGUUGGUGUUCGGGACUGAAGUAAUGAUUGAUAGGGACAGUUGGGGCGGUCUGUAUUCCAAAGCGAGAGGUGAAAUUCUUAGACCUUCGGAAGACAAACAGCUGCGAAAGCGUUCCGCAAGGAUGUUCCCUUUGAUCAAGAACGAAAGUUGGGGGAUCGAAGACGAUCAGAUACCGUCGUAGUCUCAACUAUAAACUAUACCAGCUAGGGAUCGGUCAACGUUUAAUUAUUCGACUUGAUCGGCACCUUAUGAGAAAUCAAAGCAUCUGGGUUCCGGGGGGAGUAUGGUCGCAAGGCUGAAACUUAAAGGAAUUGACGGAAGGGCACCACCAGCCGUGGAGCCUGUGGCUUAAUUUGACUCAACACGGGAAAACUUACCAGGUCCAGACAUAGUAAGGAUUGACAGAUUGAUAGCUCUUUCUUGAUUCUGUGGGUGGUGGUGCAUGGCCGUUCUUAGUUGGUGGAGUGAUUUGUCUGGUUAAUUCCGUUAACGAACGAGACCCCAGCCUGCUAAAUAGCGCGGCUGAGCUUUGCUCGGUGCGAGCUUCUUAGAGGGACUAUGAUGCGCGAUAGCACAUGGAAGUUUGGGGCAAUAACAGGUCUGUGAUGCCCUUAGAUGUUCUGGGCCGCACACGGGCUACACUGGCGCCUGCAACGAGCAUAUCAGCUGGCCCGAGAGGGUCUUGGCUAAUCUUUUGAACCGGCGCCGUGCUUGGGAUUGACCUUUGCAAUUGUUGGUCAUGCAACGAGGAAUGCCUUGUAAACGCGAGUCAUCAGCUCGCAUUGAAUACGUCCCUGCCCUUUGUACACACCGCCCGUCGCUCCUACCGAUGAAUGUUCCGAUGAAAUUUUCGGAGAGCGCCAGAGAACGGGGCUCCGCCUUGCAGAUCUGGAGGCUCAAAGUCACUUAAAUCUGAACAUUUCGAGGAAGGAGAAGUCGUAACAAGGUAACC